UGAGCGGCGGACGGGUGAGUAACGCGUGGGUAACCUGCCUCAUACAGGGGGAUAACAGUUGGAAACGGCUGCUAAUACCGCAUAAGCGCACAGUACCGCAUGGUACGGUGUGAAAAACUCCGGUGGUAUGAGAUGGACCCGCGUCUGAUUAGGUAGUUGGUGGGGUAACGGCCUACCAAGCCGACGAUCAGUAGCCGACCUGAGAGGGUGACCGGCCACAUUGGGACUGAGGCACGGCCCAA
rnacentral:rRNA from 1 species